UCUGUCUGUGGAGAUGCUCUCCUAGGUUCUACUCCAGUCCCGUGACUGAUAAUUCUGUCAAACCAUUACAGGUAUCUUCCCUUGGGGCGCUCAGCCCACUAAUUCACAUUUUUCGCUAACCCCCUUGUCUCUCAUCUUAGCUGGAUUACAGAGCUGAACUUACACCGUUUCACUUCACGAGAAUGUUUUUGUAGGAUGGAUCCUGAAAAAUGGAAAUCCUGGGCAAAGCACACGUGAGCCCACACUCAGAUGGUUUUCUACCUGAUAUUUUCAUGUUCAGAAGUUCACACUCUAAACAAAUGAACAAAAAAACCUAUUUUCAGUAGCACCCCUGAAGCAGUGUGCAAGGUGGAGUCAUUACAGUGAGCUGGGAAUGGUACAGAGGCUUCUCUACGUUUCCCCAGCUCCAAUCUGCUAUGAAUGCAUGUCACCUUCAAACCAGCAGUUCCAUUUUUUAGGACUUCAUCUGUAGAAAUAAUCACAUAUAAAUACAAAAACAUGAAUAGGGGUGGGUAUAGCAGCAUUGCUUAUAGUGUUUAAAAACAGAAAAAUAAUGCCCAGGAAUAGAGUGACUAAUUAGAUUGUGGUAUAUCCUAAUAAUGAAGGCAGCCAUUGCAAAGCUAUUAUAAACAUGUAUAUACAUUCAAUUUGCUAAUGUGAUAUCAGCUGUAGUACAUUGGCUUUAGAAGGUCUACAUUCAGAAAAUAUGUACUGAAUGUACAUACAGGAUGUCAGAUAUUAUGAUUCAUUAAUAUCAAGCAGAAAAAAAUAAAGGACCACUAAUAUGUGUGUAUAUAUUUGUGAAUCCAUAGGGAGUGUUGACAGAUUUCUUCUAUAGAGUGGAAUUAUAGAGGCAAAGAGAGAAAGUGGAGGAAGAUUUUUGCUUUUUAUUCUAAAUAUUUCUGAAAACAAUCUACCGGGCACCUGGGUGGCUCAGUUGGUUGAGCAGCUGCCUUCGGCUCAGGUCAAGAUCCUGGAGUCCCGGGAUCGAGGCCCGCAUCGGGCUCCCUGCUCGGCAGGGAGUCUGCUUCUCCCUCUGACCCUCCCCCCUGUCAUGUGCUCUCUCUCUCAUUGUCUCUCUCU
rnacentral:lncRNA from 1 species